rnacentral:sRNA from 1 species
AAAAGAAAUUUUCACAGAAGUGGACGAAAAAAGAUUUGCUCUCACCGUUUGUCAAAGUGAGAACUGGUUUUCACGUUUUGUCUUUUCAUUCAAUUUCGGACCAAAUUACCCUGGGAAAACUUAAUAAUGGCACAAACCAAACCGUGCAGCAGUUCGUAUCGGUUAAGUUGACGGCGUAAACCAAACCCUACAGCAGUUGGUUUCGGUUUAGUUGAUGCGGUUCAGUUUUGAAAAAGACAAAAAAAAAAACUGAAACGAAGAAACCCGAGAAAACGAAAAAGAGAAGAGAGUAACGGAGAGAUUUGAGAGAGAAUCAGAAAGCGAAACGAAAUUCAGUAUCCAUUGCUUCAAAAUUCGACAUAACUUCGAAUUGUUGGAUAGUUGAAUUGAGCCACUGAACUCCCACAUCCGGGGAAGUGAAAGUUACUGUUUUUCUCGGCGAAGCCAAGAGAAAGUUACUGUUUAUUCCGGCGAAAUUUGAACCUCCGGCGAGAUAGCAUCUUUAGCUAUGGCUGGGAAUAAAGCUAACGACGAAGUCCCGAGGAAGCAGCAUGGUCCAGGGAAGGAGAAGCGGGUAUUAAGAGUUUCCCCGCGGAGAAAACGCUCUGCGACAAAGGCAACGGAGGAACUGGGUUAGAAUCUCUAAUUUACCGUUUGUUGUCUUUGGGUGUAUCAGAAUUGUAAAGCUUGUUUGAUUAAGGGGUUAGAAUUUGUCGGAAUUUAGCAUAUCUUUAGGAUGAAAAAUUGAGAAGUAGAAUUGGAAAUCUCUGUUUCCGCCAAAAAUAUGAUUUUGAGUUAUAAUCUGGAAAAUGUCUGUGUACGUACACUACUUCGGUUUGCUUAACAGUAUAUGACUUUUAAUUGCAGGUAGUCCAAGUGUUGCUCCGACUGAAGAUCUUACAGUUGAAGAGUUACCACCAAGACUCUUUGCUUUAGACCGGUACCCUUCCGAGACGAAGAUGAACGCGUACUCUAAACCGGAGUACAUUUCUGACAUAGCAAAUGUACUAAAGGGGAAACCAGAGAUGCAGUUUCUUCUCGAUUCUCCAUUUGGGGAACUUUUUAAAAUACCCAAAAACAAGGCAUCUUUCAAUGCUAAGCUUGUCCUUAGACUAAUAUGCCGUAAGUUAGUGACAAAGAAGGUGAAUGAGAUGUGGAUUGUAUUCGGCGGUCAUCCAAUCAGAUUUGGAUUAAGAGAAUUUAGUAUCUUAACUGGGCUGGAAUGUGGGAAGUAUCCCAAGAAGAAAGACGUUGAUGAUGUUAUCAGUGUGAAACCUGAGUGUGAGAGUGUUUGGAAGACUCUGUUUGAUGAGAGGUUUUGGGACACGGUUCCAACAAUUGCUGAUUUGGUGAGCUGGCUGUAGGAGGAGGAAAGCAUGGAGGGGUGGAAGCAACUGGCACUAUCUCUUUUUAUUUUGGUUGACGGUGUGGUAGCGGCCCACAGUAACCCCAACAGGCCUACUUCGAAGACUGUCGAGAUGACUAAGAACCUGGAGUUCUUCUGCAAAUACCCAUGGGGAAGGGUGUCCUUUACCCGUACUUUGGGGAGGAUAGCAAAUUUCCAAACUCCUUACGAUGCUCAAUAACUAAUAAGGGGUUUACUUGUAGGGUCUUAUGCACUCCAUGGCUUCUCAUUAGCUCUCCAUCUUUUAGCUUUCGAAACAAUCCCAUCAAUUGCUAAGCUAGGACCUGAUGAUGUACCUAACAGGACAUUUGCUGAGAGGUCUAUCCAUCGUCUUGCCUCUCUGCGAGCAAUCCGGACAUCUCGCAUUUUGGAGUGUGAGGCUGCUGAUGAGGUGUGUUAAAUUGUGUAUGUACGUACAUAAUAAGUAAAUGUACAUUAUCUAUGGUUAACAUACUUAUUUGUGUAGGUUGAGGUCAACUAUAUUGUGAAACCAGCUGAUAAUGUUUGUCCUCCAUCUCUUUCAUGGGAUGAUGAAGUUGAUGAUCCAAGGGUUGAUUACAUUGAGGCACUGUUGAUAGAUGGGCACCAGUGGCAGGAGGAUGAAUGGGUUGGAGGCUAUGCUAGAGUACCAAAGCAGUUGCGCCCACCACAACUAGAAGAGACAGGUAAGUAUAAGUAUAAAGGUUGUUUACAAAUUUUUUUGGUAUUGCACCCAGAAGAAAACCAAUUAAUAGCAGCAACUGGUCUAUUGUAGAUGUUAAGAGGAAACGAAAUGCACCGGGCCCGAGCCCUAAAGAACCUGCUAUGAAAAAACAGAUAUCUGAAAUGGACUGUGAUAAAGAAGAGAAUGCUGAGGAUUGUUUUGGAGAGCCUGUGCCUGAGAGGUUUAUUGUUGAAAUGAGGAGGUCUUUCAAGGAGCUGGAAGACCAAAUGUAUCAAAUGCAUGAAGAUAUGAAAGACUUUGUCCGUGACCAGAUACGUGCUGUCCUUGAUCCAAAAGGCAAAAGGCCAGAACAAACCAUACCUUCCCAUGAUUCGCGGGAACCACCUACUUCUAUGGAUAAGGCACCGGUUACUGCGAAGAAGCCAUCGAGAAGGAUGUCUACAAAAGGAAGCACUGAAACGAGAAAGUCUUCAAGGCUGACUCGUGUUUCUCAUGAUGUGGACACUCCUGCACUUUCUGUUGGCUGUAAUUCCAAAGAGGAAGAUUUGGAUAUCCCUGGAGUACAUACCACUGCUGUCGGCGGAAGAA